GGAGAGGUGCCGGAGUGGCCGAACGGGCACGACUGGAAAUCGUGUGUUGGGGAGACCCAACCGAGGGUUCGAAUCCCUCUCUCUCCG
rnacentral:tRNA from 1 species